rnacentral:rRNA from 1 species
AACGAACGCUGGCGGCAGGCCUAACACAUGCAAGUCGAACGCUCCGCAAGGGGAGUGGCGCACGGGUGAGUAACACGUGGGAACCUACCUUCUGGUACGGAACAACCAAGGGAAACUUUGGCUAAUACCGUAUACGACCUCCGGGUGAAAGAUUUAUCGCCGGAAGAGGGGCCCGCGUCCGAUUAGGUAGUUGGUGGGGUAACGGCCUACCAAGCCGACGAUCGGUAGCUGGUCUGAGAGGAUGACCAGCCACACUGGGACUGAGACACGGCCCAGACUCCUACGGGAGGCAGCAGUGGGGAAUAUUGGACAAUGGGCGCAAGCCUGAUCCAGCCAUGCCGCGUGAGUGAUGAAGGCCUUCGGGUUGUAAAGCUCUUUCACCCACGACGAUGAUGACGGUAGUGGGAGAAGAAGCCCCGGCUAACUUCGUGCCAGCCGCCGCCGUAAGAC